rnacentral:rRNA from 1 species
GACGAACGCUGGCGGCGUGCUUAACACAUGCAAGUCGAACGAAGAGCGCUGGAAGCUUGCUUCUAUCAAUCUUAGUGGCGAACGGGUGAGUAACGCGUAAUCAACCUGCCCUUCAGAGGGGGACAACAGUUGGAAACGACUGCUAAUACCGCAUACGAUCUAAUCUCGGCGUCGAGGAUAGAUGAAAGGUGGCCUCUACAUGUAAGCUAUCACUUAAGGUGGGGUUUGCGUCUGAUUAGCUAGUUGGCGGGGUAACGGCCCACCAAGGCGAUGAUCAGUAGCCGGACUGAGAGGAUGGACGGCCACAUUGGGACUGAGACACGGCCCAGACUCCUACGGGAAGGAGCAGGAGGGAAACUUCCGGAAUGGGCGGAAAUCUGACGGAGCCACGCCGCGUGAGGGAUGACGGACGUCGGGUUGUAAAGCUCUGUUAAUCGGGACGAAAGGCCUUCUUGCGAAUAGGGAGAAGGAUUGACGGUACCGGAUAAGAAAGCCACGGCUAACUACGUG